GAUGAACGCUGGCGGCGUGCCUAAUACAUGCAAGUCGAGCGAGCAGACGAGGAGCUUGCUCCUUCGACGUUAGCGGCGGACGGGUGAGUCACACGUAGGUACCCUCCUUAACUUUCGGGGAAAACUUCGGGAAACGGGCUCAAACCCCGGAUAAGAUCCUGAUCCACAGGGGUGGUUGGUGAAUGAUGGCGUUGCGAUCACUUCUCGAUGGAUCUCGGCCGUUUUGGCUGGUUGGUCAGGUAACGGGUUACCAAGGCAACGAUUCGUAGGCGACUGGUGAGGGUGAUCGGCGACAUUGGAGCUGGGACACGGUCCAGGCUACUGCGAGAGGCAGCAGUAGGGAAUCGGAGGCAGUAGGCGAAAGCCUGACGGAGCAAGGCCACGUGAGUGAUGGAGGUCUUCGGAUCGUAAAACUGUGUUAUGGGGGAAGAACAAACGUGGAAGGAACUGUGGCCGGCGUGACGGUACCUGGUCAGAAAGCCACGGCUAACUACGUG
rnacentral:rRNA from 1 species